rfam:TPA: Bos taurus chromosome 20, whole genome shotgun sequence.
UCCCAGGUGGCUCAGUGGUAAAGAACCUGCCUGCCAAUGCAGGAGAUGCAGGAGACCUAGGUUUAAUCCCUGGGUUGGGAA